GCCUCUAUAGCUCAGUUGGUAGAGCGCGGCACUAGUAUCACAUCUAGACCAUGCCGAGGUCUUCGGUUCAACUCCGAAUGGAGGCA